GAGUGCCAGCUCUGUGGUGGCCGUGGCCGUGCUGGAGGGACAGCUGCUUUCUGUGACAGCCUGCAGUUGUUAUGUGGAGCCCAGUCAAAACAAAAUGAAACAGUAAUUAAGAUUUAUGAAAUAAUUGUCUCACAAAAGCCUGCUGAAAAGGAGAAGCGAUAAUGAAAAGGCUGAAAGAAAAGGAAUUGCUUGUUCCUGGGACAACUGAGAAUGUAGCAGCAGGUUCUUUUCUGCAGGAAAAUUUAACAGCCAAGUGCUGUCUGCCUACAUGGAGACCCCAUUGUGCUUAACUUUGGGAGAAACAACUGCUGUCUCAUAUCCAAUUCCAACAUUUCACAAAGCAUUUCCUGAGGAAUUCAGUCUUCUCAGCCUGCCCUGCUGCUGUCUAUCCAGAGAGGAUUGGUGCAUUGGAAAAGCCUUGCAGCUCCUAAGGACUCCACACAGAUCUCACGUUGGAAGUAAAAUACCAUGGCACCACCUUUAUAUUUUGUCUGUGUCCAUCCUUUAUUGCCUUCCCCAUAUUACCUGGUAACACCAAAAAAUCUGGUCCAUUUACUAUAAUCAAAAGUUCUCCACAAAUCUCCCUGGUUCACAUUUAGUCUGAAUGAAGCACCUCAUCCAAACCUCCAGUGAUUCCACUCAACAGAGCCCAUCCCACUGAAAGGCCAAGAGCAGCAAACCCACAAAAUCGGUACCAUAAAUCACACAGAAUGGGUUUGCUCCAAAAUAUUUACAGUUUUAGUAAUUAAGGAAGCAUUACCAAUCUUGCUGAAGUCUUCAAUGAGCAGUUCUCAG
rnacentral:lncRNA from 1 species